UAUAGUCUAAAUUCAUAGCAUGGUUUUCUUUCCUCCCCAUUCUUUUCUUCCAACCAGACGGACCCUUAAGGGCUAAGGCUGAGCUUUCCGGUGCCGGAGGUGUGGAACUAUGGACCAAAACUCUGGAAAUCGGAAUCACAAACUGCGGUUUCAACUGUUAAGAUAAUAAGUUGUUGGGCUUUAUAUUAUUGGGCUCAUUAGGUUUAUAGUCCACUAGGUUUUGCUAUAUAAUCUCUUGUAACUCUAUUUUAUUUAGCUAAUGCAAUUGUGAUGUUUCUAACCCUAGCCUCCAUUGUUCAC
rnacentral:lncRNA from 1 species